UCUUGACUUGAAGCAUUUUGAUGAUUGGGGUGUGACAGGGAACAGGUAGCAAGGAGGUGAAAGGUGAGGGCUUGUCCUGGGCCAGACUACAGAGAGGCUGGGAAGAGGGUCCCACAAAAGCAAACAAAGUAAAAGUUGGUGGUGAAGACAAAGGUUCCAGGCUACUUCGCUGUAGGCCUGCUAUAGGCUACACAUGCUUGCUGUCUAUGUGGACCUCGCUGAGGCUGUUGGGAGGAUAAACAAUUCUCAUUGUGCAGAGGAAGGGAAGCAACUCGUCUGGAUGCAUAGGCAGCACGACGUGGCAUGGUGACAUUAAGGCCAUUUGAGGAAGGACCAUGGACAACGGCAGUUUCCGGAAACCUUCUCUUGAUAAGAACACUGGAGUCUCUGCAGCAGUAGCCGCUGUGGAAGAGUAUCUGGAGACGCCCACGGAGCAGCCCUCCUAGAAAUGCUGCAGGAGGGAGAUGCGGGCCGCUGUGGACAGUGACAGUCCAGGUUAACCUCCACCUCUCUGUGUAGCUGAGGCUGGCCAUGAAUUUCUCAUCUCUGCUUCCCAAGAGCUGGAAUUACAGAUGUGUGUCACGA